GAUGAAGAACGCAGCGAAAUGCGAUAAGUAAUGUGAAUUGCAGAAUUCAGUGAAUCAUCGAAUCUUUGAACGCACAUUGCGCCCGCCAGUAUUCUGGCGAGCAUGCCUGUUCGAGCGUCAUUUCAACCAUCAAGCCCCAGGCUUGUGUUGGAGCCCUGCGGCUGCCGCAGCCUCCCAAAACCAGUGGCGGGCUCGCUAUCACACCGAGUGCAGUAGUUUACUCUUCGCUCAGGGCGUGUGGCGGGUGCUAGCCGUGAAACCCCCAACUUCUCAAGGUUGACCUCGGAUCAGGUAGGAAUACCCGCUGAACUUAAGCAUAUCAAUAAGCGGGGA
rnacentral:misc_RNA from 1 species